AAGAGAACUUGCCCCUCGGGGUAGAUCUCCCACCCUCUGUUUAUUAUACUUUGUUGCUUUGGCAGGCCUGCCUCGGCUGCCGGCGUGAGCUGGCUCGCGCCUGCCAGAGACCCCUAAACUCUGAAUCGUGUCGUCUGAGUACUAUAUAAUAAGUUA
rnacentral:misc_RNA from 1 species